AUGCACUUUUUCUUUUUCGCUUGUCGUGGUCGAUACCCGUCCUUAGCUUCUCCCUCCGCCUACGUUGCUCUCAUCGCCGGCCCCUUUCCCUACUGUCACCAGCGGCUACGGCUGGCUGACGAUGAGCGGGAGAGUGGGCCGGAGGGUAGAUUAUGUAGGUUUUCUUGUAGGUUUAGGUGGUGUGUUGAGCUACAGCUUCUCCGGCGUUUCGGCGAGCGACGCUGGCGAGGGGUUCGGUCCUCUCUCGCGGCGAUGUCCAUGGUGGACGUUGGUGCAGAGUAGAUCGGGCCAGAGCUCAUCUAAUAAGGUCGUUCUUCACCCGGAUCGACCGCGGAUUUUCCUACUCUCUGUUUCCUCUUCGUGCUGGCGUGGUGGGAGGAGAAGGGGACGGAAGGAGCGGAGGAUCUUCUGCUUGAUUCGGCUGUUUAGGCGACUGUGGAUGGCUGGCUUGGACUGGCUCUGCGGGUGGCCUUUGGAAGCUUCGUCUUUCUCACGGGGGACGGCGAGGAUGCGGCUACGGUUGCUCGGGGGAGCUCCCCUGCGGCCCUGCCGAUGGUCGUUCAGCGACGCGUUUGAUUCUGGCGUCUGUGCCGCAUGGCUCUUGCGGCAAUCAACGCAGCUUGGUGCUUCCUUCUUCUUCCACGGCGACGACAGCCAUAUCCGGGUGGUCUGAUUCGAGUCCAUGGUCUACAAUUUUUUACGGACAUUUGCAGUUCACUCAUAUCAGGAGCAGGAUAGGAUGCGGCAAAGUCGCGGACCGCUCGCCUGCAUCGGCCAGGGUGCUCGCAUGCAUCGAGUAGCCAGCCUUCCGGCCCGCUAUGAAGAUGCUCUGCUCCUGGUCUACCCCUGCUCUUCACGAUGUGCUUGAUUUGGCCGCCGCUGUCCUACUUCUUUCGAAUACGGCACCACAGCACAGGCGCCGCAACUGGGAAUGGUAAGAGCGUUGGCCGAUCUAUGGCGGUGUGGCCCUGUGCUGUCCCAGGCGCACGAAUCGCCGGCUACAAGCACAGGCACAGCGUGACCUCCCACCCUGAUGAGUGAUGAUUAUGCUGUACAAAAAAACUGGCUACAUUGGUCAGACGGGCUGAUCCUUUCCGUAAGCACAUGCUCACUGUUUUUUGCAUACCUGAUCAAUUUGCUCCCUGAUCAGUGAUGUGUAUGACCUGUAAAAGCUUAUAAAUGGCGGGCUACAUAUGCCAGAUGAGCGGAUUGAUACCAACAUGGCAAUCUUGGAAUACAACUCACGAUUUUUAUCAGUGCUUCAUCAGAUAUUGUUCUAUAGAAUGGAGAUCUAUACAAUUGAAUUGGUUGUUUCUCA